UACGUAGGGGGCAAGCGUUGUCCGGAAUCAUUGGGCGUAAAGAGCGUGUAGGCGGCUUGGUAAGUCCGCUGUGAAAGUCCAGGGCUCAACCCUGGAAUGCCGGUGGAAACUGUCAAGCUUGAGUCCGGAAGAGGCGAGUGGAAUUCCUGGUGUAGCGGUGAAAUGCGCAGAUAUCAGGAGGAACACCAAUGGCGAAGGCAGCUCGCUGGGACGGUACUGACGCUGAGACGCGAAAGCGUGGGGAGCAAACAGGAUU
rnacentral:rRNA from 1 species